rnacentral:rRNA from 1 species
UGGGGAAUAUUGGACAAUGCGGGAAACCGUGAUCCAGCAAUGCCGCGUGAGUGAUGAAGGCCUUAGGGUUGUAAGGCUCUUUUACCCGGGAUGAUAAUGACAGUCCCGGGAGAAUAAGUUCCGACUAACUCCGUACCAGCAGCCGCGGGAAUACGGAGGGAGCUAGCGUUGUUCGGAAUUACUGGGCGUAAAGCGCGCGUAGGCGGCUAUUCAAGUCAGGGGUGAAAUCCCGGGGCUCAACCCCGGAACUGCCCUUGAAACUAGGUAGCUAGAAUACUGGAGAGGUGAGUGGAAUUCCGAGUGUAGAGGUGAAAUUCGUAGAUAUUCGGAAGAACACCAGUGGCGAAGGCGACUCACUGGACAGUUAUUGACGCUGAGGUGCGAAAGCGUGGGGAGCAAACAGGAUUAGAUACCCCCGUAGUCC